rnacentral:tRNA from 1 species
GGCCCCUUGGUCAAGCGGUUAAGACACCGCCCUUUCACGGCGGUAACAGGGGUCCGAAUCCCCUAGGGGUCACCA